UAAAAACCCCGACUUCGGAAGGGGUGUAUUUAUUAGAUACAAAACCGAUGCCCUUCGGGGCUCUUUGGUGAUUCAUGAUAACUAUACGAAUCGCACGGCCUUGCGCCGGCGAUGGUUCAUUCAAAUUUCUUCCCUAUCAACUUUCGAUGUUUGGGUAUUGGCCAAACAUGGUUGCAACGGGUAACGGAGGGUUAGGGCUCGACCCCGGAGAAGGAGCCUGAGAAACGGCUACUACAUCCAAGGAAGGCAGCAGGCGCGCAAAUUACCCAAUCCCGACUCGGGGAGGUAGUGACAAUAAAUACUGAUACAGGGCCCUUUCGGGCCUUGUAAUUGGAAUGAGUACAAUUUAAAUCCCUUAACGAGGAACAAUUGGAGGGCAAGUCUGGUGCCAGCAGCCGCGGUAAUUCCAGCUCCAAUAGCGUAUAUUAAAGUUGUUGUGGUUAAAAAGCUCGUAGUUGAUCCUUGGGCCUGGCUGGCCGGUCCGCCUCACCGCGUGCACUGGUCCGGCCGGGCCUUUCCCUCUGUGGAACCCCAUACCCUUCACUGGGCGUGGCGGGGAAACAGGACAUUUACUUU
rnacentral:rRNA from 1 species